rnacentral:rRNA from 1 species
CCUACGGGCGGCAGCAGUGGGGGAUAUUGCACAAUGGGGGGAACCCUGAUGCAGCGACGCCGCGUGGGUGAAGGAGCGUUUAUGCGCGUAAAGCCCUAUCGGCAGGGAAGUAGAUGACGGUACCUGACCAAGAAGCACCGGCUAACUACGUGCCAGCAGCCGCGGUAAUACGUAGGGGGCCAGCGUUAUCCGGAUUUACUGGGUGUAAAGGGGGCGCAGACGGCAAUGCAAGCCAGGAGUGAAAGGCCGGGGCUCAACCCCGGGACUGCUCUUAGUACUGCAUGGCUAGAGUACAGGUGGGGCAGGCGGAAUGCCUAGUGUAGCGGUGAAAUGCGUAGAUAUUAGGAGGAACACCGGUGGCGAAGGCGGCCUGCUGGACUGUAACUGACGUUGAGGCCCGAAGGCGUGGGGAGCAAACAGGAUUAGAUACCCCUGUAGUC